rnacentral:rRNA from 1 species
GACGAACGCUGGCGGCGUGCUUAACACAUGCAAGUCGAACGGAAAGGCCCUGCUUUUGUGGGGUGCUCGAGUGGCGAACGGGUAAGUAACACGUGAGUAACCUGCCCUUGACUUUGGGAUAACUUCAGGAAACUGGGGCUAAUACCGGAUAGGAGCUCCUGCUGCAUGGUGGGGGUUGGAAAGUUUCGGCGGUUGGGGAAGGACUCGCGGCUUAUCAGCUUGUUGGUGGGGUAGUGGCUUACCAAGGCUUUGACGGGUAGCCGGCCUGAGAGGGUGACCGGCCACAUUGGGACUGAGAUACGGCCCAGACUCCUACGGGAGGCAGCAGUGGGGAAUAUUGCACAAUGGGCGGAAGCCUGAUGCAGCAACGCCGCGUGCGGGAUGACGGCCUUCGGGUUGUAAACCGCUUUCGCCUGUGACGAAGCGUGAGUGACGGUAAUGGGUAAAGAAGCACCGGCUAACUACGUG